rnacentral:rRNA from 1 species
GGAAUCUUCCACAAUGGACGCAAGUCUGAUGGAGCAACGCCGCGUGAGUGAAGAAGGUUUUCGGACCGUAAAGCUCUGUUGUUGGUGAAGAAGGAUAGAGGUAGUAACUGGCCUUUAUUUGACGGUAAUCAACCAGAAAGUCACGGCUAACUACGUGCCAGCAGCCGCGGUAAUACGUAGGUGGCAAGCGUUGUCCGGAUUUAUUGGGCGUAAAGCGAGCGCAGGCGGAAGAAUAAGUCUGAUGUGAAAGCCCUCGGCUUAACCGAGGAAUUGCAUCGGAAACUGUUUUCUUGAGUGCAGAAGAGGAGAGUAGAACUCCAUGUGUAGCGGUGGAAUGCGUAGAUAUAUGGAAGAAUACCAGUGGCGAAGGCGGCUCUCUGGUCUGCAACUGACGCUGAGGCUCGAAAGCAUGGGUAGCGAACAGGAUUAGAUACCCUGGUAGUCCAUGCCGUAAACGAUGAGUGCUAAGUGUUGGGAGGCUUCCGCCUCUCAGUGCUGCAGCUAACGCAUUAAGCACUCCGCCUGGGGAGUACGACCGCAAGGUUGAA